rnacentral:rRNA from 1 species
GACGAACGCUGGCGGCGCGCUUAACACAUGCAAGUCGAACGGAGAGGCCUGCUUUCCCUUGUGGAUUGAGGGUACUCGAGUAGCGAACGGUUGAGUAACACGUGAGUGAUCUGCCCCCAACUUGGGUAUAAGCCUGGGAAACUGGGUCUAAUUCCCGAUAGGACUGCAGGGUGGUGCCUGGGGGGGAGAACGAUUUUCUAGUGGUUGGGGAUGAGCUGGCGGCCUAUCCGCUUGUUGGUGGGGUAAUGGCCGACAAGGGCGGCGACGGGUAGCCGGCCUGGGAGGGUGGACGUACACAUUGGGACUGACACACGGCCCAGAGUGCUACGGGAGGCAGCAGUGGGGAAUAUUGCACAAUGGGCGGAAGCCUGAUGCAGGGACGCCGGGUGGGGGAUGACGGGCUGCGGGUUGUAAACUCCUUUCGACAGCGAGGAAGCCGCGUGGUUGGAAGGGUGGUGACGGUAGUGGUAGAAGAAGCAACGGCUAACUACGUG